UGUGCCAGCAGCCGCGGUAAUACGAAGGGUGCAAGCGUUAAUCGGAAUUACUGGGCGUAAAGCGCGCGUAGGUGGUUUGUUAAGUUGGAAGUGAAAGCCCCGGGCUCAACCUGGGAACUGCUUUCAAAACUGGCAAGCUAGAGUAUGGCAGAGGGUGGUGGAAUUUCCUGUGUAGCGGUGAAAUGCGUAGAUAUAGGAAGGAACACCAGUGGCGAAGGCGACCACCUGGGCUAAUACUGACACUGAGGUGCGAAAGCGUGGGGAGCAAACAGG
rnacentral:rRNA from 1 species